UACAGAGGUUGCAAGCGUUAAUCGGAAUUACUGGGCGUAAAGCGCGCGUAGGUGGCAAGUUAAGUCGGAUGUGAAAGCCCUGGGCUCAACCUAGGAAUUGCAUUCGAUACUGGCUCGCUCGAGUUUGGUAGAGGAGAUUGGAAUUCCUGGUGUAGCGGUGGAAUGCGCAGAUAUCAGGAGGAACACCGAUGGCGAAGGCAGAUCUCUGGGCCGUUACUAACGCUGAGGAGCGAAAGCAUGGGGAGCGAACAGG
rnacentral:rRNA from 1 species